UUAAAAUUAAUAAUGGAAAAUUUAUCGAUUUGUUUUGUAUCUUAGUCUAUAGAGGAUAAGCUCAAUAGAAUAACAAAAUGGUAUACACCUUAUUUAAUUAGCCACAUGGGCUUGAAAUUAGCCACUGUAUUAAAGUUUGUUACAAAAUAGUCUUUAUAUGCAGAAAGAUUAAUAUACUUUUUUUAUAGGGGUAACACGAGAAACCACGGUAUCUUGAUUCACUUAUGCUAGGAUGAGUAUUGACACAUAAGAUACAUAAAUAAAAAUAGAAAAAUAUACAAAAUAAUUUACUUAGAAUAAAAUAAGAAUAAGGAAUUCAGCAAACGCUUAGCUCCGCCUGUUUAUCAAAAACAUGGCUCUUUGUUAGCUAGAUAUAAAGAGUCGGACCUGCCCAGUGAAAUUUUAACGGCCGCGGUACUCUGACCGUGCAAAGGUAGCAUAAUCAUUUGCCUUAUAAUUGAAGGCUUGCAUGAAUGGUUUGACGGGAGCAUUACUGUCUCUUUCUUACCUUAUAGAACUUGACCUCUAGGUGAAGAGGCCUAGAUACAGUUGAAAGACAAAAAGACCCUGUCGAGCUUAAAAAGGAACCAGAAUGACUUUAUUAUUCAAGAUUAAUUACUGACUAAUUUUUUUGGUUGGGGCGACCAAGGAACAAAAAAAGCUUCCUCUAUUUUCCUAGCUAAUAAGCGCAGAUCCAGAAAAACUGAUUGAAAGAAAUAGUUACCGCAGGGAUAACAGCAUAAUCUCUCUUGAGAGACCUAAUCGAAAGAGGGGGUUGUGACCUCGAUGUUGGACUAGAAUAUCCUAAAGAUGUAGAAGUCU
rnacentral:rRNA from 2 species